GUAGCAAAAGGUUCUAUCGCUCCGAUUAUUUCGGGGAGGAAAGUCCGAGCAGCAUAGAGCACCAUGCUUCCUAACGGGAAGUUGUCGAAAGGCAAGGUUCUGUAACAGAAAAUAACCGUCCCGACUCGUUCGGGAUAAGGGUGAAAAGGCGAGGUAAGAGCUCACCGUUCUUCUGGCGACAGAAGAAGCUGUACAUCCCAUGGGCUGUAAGGUCGCGUACACCGGCAACGAAGGGCUGCUCGUCCAAUGCCGGGGGGUAGACCGCUGGAACUCGAUAGCAAUGUCGAGGCUAGAUAAAUGAUAGAAAUUCUUCAUCUUACGAUGAAGAAUACAGAACUCGGCUUAUACUUUUGCUUAUUUA
rnacentral:RNase_P_RNA from 1 species